GGAGCUUGCUCCUCUGACGUUAGCGGCGGACGGGUGAGUAACACGUGGAUAACCUACCUAUAAGACUGGGAUAACUUCGGGAAACCGGAGCUAAUACCGGAUAAUAUAUUGAACCGCAUGGUUCAAUAGUGAAAGACGGUUUUGCUGUCACUUAUAGAUGGAUCCGCGCCGCAUUAGCUAGUUGGUAAGGUAACGGCUUACCAAGGCAACGAUGCGUAGCCGACCUGAGAGGGUGAUCGGCCACACUGGAACUGAGACACGGUCCAGACUCCUACGGGAGGCAGCAGUAGGGAAUCUUCCGCAAUGGGCGAAAGCCUGACGGAGCAACGCCGCGUGAGUGAUGAAGGUCUUCGGAUCGUAAAACUCUGUUAUUAGGGAAGAACAAAUGUGUAAGUAACUAUGCACGUCUUGACGGUACCUAAUCAGAAAGCCACGGCUAACUACGUGCCAGCAGCCGCGGUAAUACGUAGGUGGCAAGCGUUAUCCGGAAUUAUUGGGCGUAAAGCGCGCGUAGGCGGUUUUUUAAGUCUGAUGUGAAAGCCCACGGCUCAACCGUGGAGGGUCAUUGGAAACUGGAAAACUUGAGUGCAGAAGAGGAAAGUGGAAUUCCAUGUGUAGCGGUGAAAUGCGCAGAGAUAUGGAGGAACACCAGUGGCGAAGGCGACUUUCUGGUCUGUAACUGACGCUGAUGUGCGAAAGCGUGGGGAUCAAACAGGAUUAGAUACCCUGGUAGUCCACGCCGUAAACGAUGAGUGCUAAGUGUUAGGGGGUUUCCGCCCCUUAGUGCUGCAGCUAACGC
rnacentral:rRNA from 1 species